rnacentral:pre_miRNA from 1 species
AGUAGGAUAGCUGGGUCAAAUGUUUACUCCCCUCCAAGUUUUCUGAGAAUUCUCCAUAUUACUUUCCAUAGUGGUGGCACCAAUUUGCAUUCCCUCCAGCAAU